rnacentral:rRNA from 1 species
UGGGGAAUCUUGGACAAUGGGCGCAAGCCUGAUCCAGCCAUGCCGCGUGAGUGACGAAGGCCUUAGGGUUGUAAAGCUCUUUUGGCGGGGACGAUAAUGACGGUACCCGCAGAAUAAGCCCCGGCUAACUUCGUGCCAGCAGCCGCGGUAAUACGAAGGGGGCUAGCGUUGUUCGGAAUUACUGGGCGUAAAGCGCACGUAGGCGGAUUUGUCAGUCAGGGGUGAAAUCCCGAGGCUCAACCUCGGAACUGCCUCCGAUACAGCAAGUCUCGAGUCCGGAAGAGGUGAGUGGAAUUCCUAGUGUAGAGGUGAAAUUCGUAGAUAUUAGGAAGAACACCAGUGGCGAAGGCGGCUCACUGGUCCGGUACUGACGCUGAGGUGCGAAAGCGUGGGGAGCAAACAGGAUUAGAUACCCACGUAGUCCCUGAGCGGGCUGGCAAGGCGCAU